UUUUCUGCUGUGUGUGGAGAGACAAGAACAUGCACUGUGCUGUGUGUGGAGGAAUGCAGGAACGAGCGAGGAACAGGAGAAAUACAGGAAUAUACAGUUAAAAUCAGCCAACUGCUGCGAGAAAAAGUGUUAGAAUUAAGCAUUUGGGCAGUACAAGAACCUGUAUGAGCUGCGCUUUCUAGCUUUGAUUCCUGUGGAUUUUCAUGAAGUGCACGUCUUUACUGCUCUGAGAGUGAGGCAAAAUGUGGGACAGAAGUGGAGUUGUAUGACUGAAUGGGUGAAUGGAGCUCUCAGCAGUGUAGCUGUGCACGGUCAGCCUGUGAGGGAAGCAGCACUGCAGCUUUCCACUUUACAGGCUCAGAAGACUCUCUGUUCACAGCUCCAACACUUAUCUCCCCUGAGCAGGUGUGUGUGUGUGUGCCAGAGUUCGCAUGCAGGCAAGCAUGGAUUUAUCUGACUUGUUUUUCUCAGCAUUCAGAUGUGUGUUUGUGCAUUUGCAACUGUGAAUGUGUGUGAGUUAACACAGUUACCAUAUGACUGAGUGUGAGUUUCCUCUUAUCAAAGUGGAGGUGAGAGAAGCUGAGGCAGAAACAAGGUGAGAAGGAGAAAAAAGGCUGGACAACACUACUUUUUAAAAAUACAUCCCUCUCACCUGCUUUUUUCUCCUUAAAAAAGUACACUGUAAUAGCCCAUUGCAAUUUUCCUCAGCACACAAUGCAGCACCAUACUGCAUCAAGGUGCUAUUGGCUAAAACAUCUGAGUGAUGCUUCACUGAGCCGUGUGGAGGCCAGGAGAGUCUCUGGAACGACUUACUCCAGGUGUGUGAAUUAUCUAAAAAUCUUAACUCCACACGCUGAUAUUGUCAUGUAUUAUUGUCACUACCACAAACAGCUAUUUAUUAUUUGAGGUAAAAUUUAUUGUAGUGAUGGAAAAGAGUCAUCUGAGGCAGUUAAAGAGAAAUUCUGAUAUGAAUAAAUUAUUGAUGGUUUACAUUAUAUAUUGAGUUCACCACUCUAGAAAGAUGGAAGCUGAUGGAGACAGAUAUGGCCAGUGUUCUCUCCUCAGUUGAGUGGCCAGUUCCUUCUGUGCUGCAGUCCUUGUUGCCACUGGCUCCCUCUGUUGGCCUGACAGGGUUUCAUUUGCCUCUAGGUACAGUGCUUUGCACAUUUUUUAUUUGUGCAUAAAAAGCUAUAAAUGUGGUAUACAAUGGUGGAGUUUACCAAGAAGCAGUGCUGAGGGGAAUGCUGGAACUCUAACACAGCACAGUCCACUCCUGCUCACACAGUAUCACACUGACACUGGGGCUAACUUUUAUAGUAAAUGUCUGGUUUGUAGCUUUACCUUCCUGAAGUUUUAUUAUACUAGUUUUGUGAUGCAACAGUCUGGGCUGCACUUGUUGGGAUUUAAUUCACCAUUUAAUUUAGCAAAUAAAACAUGAAAGAAAGAAAACAUAGCUUUUUUUUCAAAUAACAAAAAUUUAAAAUGAUGAUUAUUUUAAUACAUUUAAAUAUGAUCAAAUUAUGAAAUGUGUCAUCUUGUAAUCUUUCAUUGGAAAUAUGAUGAAACUAAAAAAAAAACAAA